rnacentral:rRNA from 1 species
GUGUCGCCGCCGCGGUAAUACGGAGGGUGCAAGCGUUAUCCGGAAUCAUUGGGUUUAAAGGGUCCGCAGGCGGAUUUAUAAGUCAGUGGUGAAAGCCUACAGCUCAACUGUAGAACUGCCAUUGAUACUGUAAGUCUUGAAUUCGGUCGAAGUGGGCGGAAUAUGACAUGUAGCGGUGAAAUGCUUAGAUAUGUCAUAGAACACCGAUAGCGAAGGCAGCUCACUAGGCCUGGAUUGACGCUCAGGGACGAAAGCGUGGGGAGCAAACAGGAUUAGAAACCCUGGUAGUCC